UCGACACCGGUAAUAGUUUGAAAAAGUGGAAAAAUUGAUCGUAACCACGUGUCAGUGUUGUGUCAAUGUCGGAUACCGAGUAUUGGACACCAGACACGCCUUCAAUGUGAAGUGUCGGUGCUACAUAGGUAGCAGAUAGCUACUGAAUUGAAGACAAACAACAAAAACGAUAAAAGAAUACUUAAAAAUACAUGAUUUAGAAAAGGAGACCUCAUCUACCCUCAGACUUCACCAACUGUGAGAAUACCCUACUCAUAGAAACAC
rnacentral:lncRNA from 1 species